UACGUAGGUGGCAAGCGUUGUCCGGAUUCAUUGGGUUUAAAGGGUGCGUAGGCGGAACGAUAAGUCAGUGGUGAAAGCCCUCAGCUUAACUGAGGAACUGCCAUUGAUACUGUCGAUCUUGAGUACAUUUGAUGUGGGCGGAAUGUGUCAUGUAGCGGUGAAAUGCUUAGAUAUGACACAGAACACCGAUUGCGAAGGCAGCUCACAAAACUGUAACUGACGCUGAGGCACGAAAGCGUGGGGAGCGAACAGG
rnacentral:rRNA from 1 species